CUUCGGGGAUGAUUUAAGAACUGAACUCUCUCUUUCUGAUGGCUCAGUGGAGAAAGCAGAAGUUCUGAGUAGC
ensembl:snoRNA SNORD26 Small nucleolar RNA SNORD26